rnacentral:rRNA from 1 species
AUUGAACGCUGGCGGCAGGCUUAACACAUGCAAGUCGAGCGGAGAUGAGGUGCUUGCACCUUAUCUUAGCGGCGGACGGGUGAGUAAUGCUUAGGAAUCUGCCUAUUAGUGGGGGACAACAUUCCGAAAGGAAUGCUAAUACCGCAUACGUCCUACGGGAGAAAGCAGGGGAUCUUCGGACCUUGCGCUAAUAGAUGAGCCUAAGUCGGAUUAGCUAGUUGGUGGGGUAAAGGCCUACCAAGGCGACGAUCUGUAGCGGGUCUGAGAAGAUGAUCCGCCACACUGGGACUGAGACACGGCCCAGACUACUACGGGAGGCAGCAGUGGGGAAUAUUGGACAAUGGGGGAAACCCUGAUCCAGCCAUGCCGCGUGUGUGAAGAAGGCCUUAUGGUUGUAAAGCACUUUAAGCGAGGAGGAGGCUACUGAGACUAAUACUCUUGGAUAGUGGACGUUACUCGCAGAAUAAGCACCGGCUAACUCUGUGCCAGCCGCCGCGGUAAGAC